rnacentral:rRNA from 1 species
UACGAAGGGGGCUAGCGUUGCUCGGAAUUACUGGGCGUAAAGGGCGCGUAGGCGGAUAUUUAAGUUAGAGGUGAAAGCCCAGGGCUCAACCCUGGAAUAGCCUUUAAUACUGGAUAUCUUGAGUUCGGGAGAGGUGAGUGGAACUCCGAGUGUAGAGGUGAAAUUCGUAGAUAUUCGGAAGAACACCAGUGGCGAAGGCGACUCACUGGCCCGAUACUGACGCUGAGGUGCGAAAGCGUGGGGAGCAAACAGG